UUUCAGUACCGGACAUAGAAAGGGUUGCUGCUGCGUGCAAAGUCUGUGUGUGAUGCAUGUAUUUGAAUGGGAAGGCUACGAUAAAAACAAAUAUAUCUUACUAAAUACAAACCGAAGGCGGUGUUUCUGAAUGCAAAGAGGAUUCCGCUAGACCAGUCUCAAACUAAACCAGUGAAGAUGGACGUCAGUGUCUCCGUGUCGUGGUUUCAAGACGAGCUCGCCUCCACCGUCGAGCUCGCAGUGAAAGCGGCUGCAGACAGCGUCGUGUGCGCGAUUACUGAAGCUGUCUGCAGCAAAUUCACUGAAUUACAAGAGGACAUGUCUGCAGUGAAGAGAGAGAAUGAAAGUCUGAAGCUGAGAUUGGAAAUAUCAGAGAGCGAGCUGAAAGCCGUGCGAGGGUUAUAAACGCUGCACAUGCAGACAUUAAACAGCCUUUCAUAUUUCAAGAUCCCAUAGAGAGCCACGCUAUCCCUGAAUCUGAAGCACAGGAAGGGCCAAAGAUAGAAGCAGUUUACACACACGAGGAGUCCUUUGAGCAGGAGUGGUGUGCAAGUCUAUUGCAGGUUACAGGGCUGCCAUGUGUUAAAGAUGAAGACGUCUCUGAACAGGAAUGUGUUCCUAUUAAAGAGGAAUUCAUAGAACAGGAAUGUGUCCCCAUCGCAGAGGAACUUCCUACUGAAAAUAAUGUCUGUACACUUGAGGAGAACACCAAGCUGGGAUCCAACCUGUGUGAUGAUUCUCCAUCUGAAUGUGAUCUGGGAUUUGGAGAUCCCAUAGAGAGCCACGCUAUUCCUGAAUCUGAAGCACAGGAAGGGCCAAAGAUAGAAGCAGUUUACACACAAGAGGAGUCCUUUGAGCAGGAGUGGUGUGCAAGUCUAAUACAGGUUACAGGGCUGCCAUGUGUUAAAGAUGAAGCCGUCCCUGAACAGGAAUGUGUUCCUAUUAAAGAGGAAUUCAUAGAACAGGAAUGUGUCCCCAUCGCAGAGGAACUUCCUACUGAAAAUAAUGUCUGUACACUUGAGGAGAACAACAAGCUGGGCUCCAACCUGUGUGAUGGUUCUCCAUCUGGAUGUGAUCUGGGAUUUGGAGCUUCUAAAGUAGAUGAAGGAGAACACGACUCCACUCCAUCACCCCAGUGCAAAAACUCUUCUAAUGCCGAACAACAGUGCAAGAAACACAGAGUAACGACACCCCAAGAAGAGUAUGUGAAGACAUUGAGAACUCACUCAGUUACAAUCCCUUCUUUACAAGACAGACACCCACUUACUGUGGAGAGUACAGAGUCGCCACAUUCUGCAUGUUUUAACAAUUCAGAAACCCAGGGCAGCUUGAAGACCUUGCCUCAUUCUAUUAAAGAUGGGAAGAGUUCCUGUCAAUUAGACGUUCCUGAAACUCACAAGGGAAAUCACACAGGAGGGACUACGUUUUCCUGGGCUGAUUGUGGGAAGAGUUUCAGUCAUAUAUCACUGCUUAAAAGACACCAGCACAUUCAUACAGGAGAGAAACCUUCCCACAUACAGUCCAGUGAUAAGAGUUUCACACAGUUAGGAAAUCUUAAUUCACACCAGCGCAUUCACACAGGAGAGAAACCUCAUCACUGUGAUGUUUGUGGGAAGAGAUUCAGCCAGUUAGGAGACCUUAAAAGACACCAUACAAUUCACACAGGAGAGAAACCUUAUCACUGUGCUGUUUGUGGGAAGGGAUUCAGCCAGUUAGGAGACCUUAAAAGACACCAUCAAAUUCACACAGGAGAGAAACCUCAUCACUGUGCUGUUUGUGGGAAGAGAUUCAGCCAUUUAAGAGACCUUAAAAGACACCAUACAAUUCACACAGGAGAGAAACCUUAUCACUGUGCUGUUUGUGGGAAGAGAUUCAGCCAGUUAGGAGACCUUAAAAGACACCAUACAAUUCACACAGGAGAGAAACCUUAUCACUGUGCUGUUUGUGGGAAGAGAUUCAGCCUGUUUGGAAACCUUAAAAGACACCAUAAAAUUCACACAGGUGUGUAAGCCUAUCCCUGCACUUAGUGUGUGAAGAAGUGAAGUCAGUUGCAGGCUCUUACAGGACUCGAGAACAUUCUCAGAAUUGCAGACGCUUGGGGACACCUAGACAACAGGAGAGCAUUUGACUAAAUACAGAAAUAUCUACUGAAAACAAAAGAAUAAACCUGCUUGAUAAACAGGGUCCCCC